GACGAACGCUGGCGGCGUGCUUAACACAUGCAAGUCGAACGGAAAGGCCCUGCUUUUGUGGGGUGCUCGAGUGGCGAACGGGUGAGUAACACGUGAGUAACCUGCCCUUGACUUUGGGAUAACUUCAGGAAACUGGGGCUAAUACCGGAUAGGAGCUCCUGCUGCAUGGUGGGGGUUGGAAAGUUUCGGCGGUUGGGGAUGGACUCGCGGCUUAUCAGCUUGUUGGUGGGGUAGUGGCUUACCAAGGCUUUGACGGGUAGCCGGCCUGCGCGGGUGACCGGCCACAUUGGGACUGGGAUACGGCCCAGACUCCUCCGGGAGGCAGCAGUGGGGAAUAUUGCACAAUGGGCGGAAGCCUGAUGCAGCAACGCCGCGUGCGGGAUGACGGCCUUCGGGUUGUAAACCGCUUUCGCCUGUGACGAAGCGUGAGUGACGGUAAUGGGUAAAGAAGCACCGGCUAACUACGUG
rnacentral:rRNA from 1 species